rnacentral:rRNA from 1 species
AACGAACGCUGGCGGCAUGCCUAACACAUGCAAGUCGAACGAGACCUUCGGGUCUAGUGGCGCACGGGUGCGUAACGCGUGGGAACCUGCCCUUAGGUUCGGAAUAACUCCCCGAAAGGGGUGCUAAUACCGGAUAAUGUCUUCGGACCAAAGAUUUAUCGCCUUUGGAUGGGCCCGCGUUGGAUUAGCUGGUUGGUAGGGUAAAAGCCUACCAAGGCGACGAUCCAUAGCUGGUCUGAGAGGAUGAUCAGCCACACUGGGACUGAGACACGGCCCAGACUCUUCCGGGAGGCGGCAGGGGGGAAUAGAGAAAAGGGGCGUGAGGCAUGACCCACCUCGGCCGGGUAAGGGAUGAUGUCCGGGGGGUAGAAAUGUGUUUGUACCCGUGAAAAUAUUGACGGUACCGAAUAAGAAAGCCCCGGCUAACUCCGUG